rnacentral:lncRNA from 1 species
GUUUUUAUUUUGAAAACAUAGCCGUUCCUUGGCGUUGGCUGAGUUCACCCUCACGUGCUGAUUUGGCAUGAAGUGAACUCUAAAGUUGUACCUCGGGAGUUACCCUACUCGCCUCCCCAAUCGAGGUAAGAAUAUAAUAGGAUUCCAUGCCCCUCAAAAAGGCUAGUCCAUAGAACCCACCCACUGCAGCAAGCUAAACCCACCAUAUAAUAAAAUUUACAAUAGCAUGACAUGGCAAUUAAUUUAUUUUACAAUAUCUCAAGGCAAAUCAACAGUUUAUACAUUUUCAGCACAUUUACCAAUUCAACCAUUAAUGCCAAUAUUAUCAUAAGCCAUUCAGUUCAAACCAUGAUUUAUAACACAACAAUUAGUCUCUAAUUACUCCAUUUUCAAAACCAUCUUUCAAUUUCAAAACAAUUUUAUAAAACCAUUUCAUUUAAUCACAUUUUGCUUAUAAAACAUAAAAAUUUACUAUUUAAACUAAUUUUUUCAUCAAAUCACAAAAACGAUUAAAAACUACUUUAGAUAAUUAAGACGAUAAUAAGGUUACUCACUAUUUUGGGAGUCGAAUUUUGAGGUCUUCGAUUCUUGAUCCUCGGGUACUAUCUCUUUACUUUUGCUAGAAAGCUCACCACCUAUACAUAAUGCACAAUAAGCCAUUUACUACAUUUGUGCUAAAUCGUUGUAAAACCAAUUCAAGCUUUAUACUAAUGCAUGAAAUGGGAUGUGAAAUACUUGGGUAACUAUCUAAAUACGAUGUUCAAUAUAAAUUCAAUUAUGUACCUAAAUAAAAUGGUAUUGGCCUAAUUCGAUCUAUCACUCGAUUAAUUGGCCAAUAUGUCCAAUUUAACUCCAAUUAACUCCAUUUUUCUUCCAAUUCUCCAAACCAUCAAACACAAGUUAAAUAACUUGAAAUAUGGCAAAAUCAUCUUCACAUUUUCUCUUGGGAAUUUUGGCCAUGGUGGGUGCAUCAAUACUAUGAUUUUUCCUACUUGAUUUUCUCACCGUAAUUCAUCAUUUCCUAACCAAUUCACUUGAAAUAAAAUCAAAUCCACCAUCCACACUCUACAUGGAAGAUUCGGCCAAUCAUGGGUUAUGGAAGAACAUGAAUUUUUCUUGCUUGAUUUUCAUGCUACACAUCACCAAUCAUCUAAAAACACUAGAAUAUCUUAAAAUCUAACCAAAACAACCAUCAAAAUUUCUCUCUAAGUGUUCGGCCAGCAAGAGAUUCAUCAUGAAAUCAUGUGAUUCAACCAUGGAAAAUGCAAAAGAAUGUAUGGGAAAGGUAGAUCACAAGUCAAAAUCAAGAAAUUUUACCUUUGAUUGCUUGAUUACUUGAAAUCCACCAAUUUUCUCUUGAAUUUUCACUCUAGGUUUUUUGUGCUUUCUUUUCUUCCUUUGUUCUUGCUUUGGCCGGCC